GACGAACGCUGGCGGCGUGCUUAACACAUGCAAGUCGAACGGAAAGGCCCUUCGGGGUACUCGAGUGGCGAACGGGUUAGUGACACGUUGGUGAUCUGCCCUGCACUUUCGUAUAAGCCUGGGAUACUGGGGCUAAUACCGCAUAGGUACACCCUCCUCCCUGCGGGUGGUGGAAAGCUUUUGCGGUGUGUGAUGGGCUCGCGGCCUAUCAUCUUGUUGGUGGUGGUAGGGCCGGCCAAGGCGCCGAAGGGUAGCCGGCCUGAGAGGGUGACCGGGCACACUGGGACUAAGAGAGGGCCCAGACUCGUACGGGGGACAGCAGGGGGGAGUCUUGCACAAUGGGCGCAAGCCGGAUGCAGAGACGCCGCGUGAGGGAUGCCGGCCUUCGGGUAGAAAACCUCUUUCGGUAGGGACGAAGCGCAAGUGACGGUACCUAUAGAAGAAGCACCGGCCAACUACGUG
rnacentral:rRNA from 1 species